ensembl:lncRNA
GGGGUUUUUUGUUGGUUUUUUUUGUUUGUUUGUUUGUUUGGUGGCCGUAUGUGAAAUUGCCUUAAAUAAAAUAGCAUAAGGAUAGGUAAUAUCAUUUCAGACUUAAAGUAUUGUAAUGUAUUUCAUCUCAGGGAAAUCGUACCUACUGGGAGGACACACCCACUGUCUUUUCCUAGAAAGAUAGAUUUUUUUGAAUUGACUUGCAAGAUAAGAUUUGUAUACAUCUGUUGCCUUGAAGAAUAAUCUGUGCUGAAUACUUAAGUUAGUAGCAUUUGCUCAUCCCAUAAGAACCAGCACCUGGCAUCACAAGGCUACUUCCAGCUGCUUGUAGAAGGCCUCAUCAAACUCCUCUUUGCCUGAAGACUGGAGGAUAGCCAAUGUCAUUCUGGUCCUCAGAAAGGGCAAGAAGGAGGAUCUGGGAAACUACAGGCCAGUCAGCCUCACCUCCAUCCCUGGAAAGGUGAUGCAACAGCUUGUUCUGGAUGCCAUCUGCAGGCAAUUGGAAGAGAAGAAGGUUAGCAGGAGUGGGAGAAGAAGGUCAGCGUGGGUUCACUACGGGGAGGUCAUGCUUGACCAACCUGGUAGCUUUCUAUGAUGUCAUCACUGACUGGGUGGACAGGGGGAGUGCAGUGGAUAUAGUCUCCUUGAUUUCAGUAUGGCAUUUGAUACUGUCUCCCACAACGAAGCUGAGGAACUGUGGAAUAGGUGAGUGGAUGGUGAGGUGGGUUGAGAAAUGGCUGAAUGGCUAAGCUCAGAAUGUUGUGAUUGGUGGCUCAGAGUCCAGUUGGAGGCCUGUAUCUAGCAGUGCUCCCCAGGAAUUGGUACCAAAUUCAGUCUCGUUUAACAUCUUCAUCAAUGACUUUGAUGAAGGGAUAGCGUACACUCAGCAAGUUUCCUGAUGAUAUGAAGCUGGGAGGAAUGGCUGACACAGCAGGCUAUGCUGACAUUCAGCAAGAUGUUGGACAGGCUGGAGACUUGGGCAGAGAGGAACCAGAUGAGAUUUAACAAGCAAUUGCAGAGUUUUGCACCUAGGGAGGAGUAACUGCAUAUACCAGUAAAGGCUGGGGGAUUACCUGCUGGAGAGGAGCUCUGCAGAGAGGGACUCAGGGGUCCUGGUGGAGAACAGGUUGGCCAUGAGCCAGCAGCGUGCUCUGGUGGUCAAGAAGGCCAGUGGCAUCCUGGGAUGCAUUAAAAAGAGUGUGGUCAGCAGGUCAAGGGAGGUGAUUCUCCCCCUCUACUCUGCCCUGGUCAGGCCUCACAUGGAGUAUUGUGACCAGUUCUGGGCUCUCUGGUACUAGAAUGACAGGGAUCUCAUGGAGAGAGUCCAGUGGAGGGCCACAAAGACGAUAAAGGGCCUGGAGCACCUCUCUUAGGAGGAAAGGCUGUGUGAUCUGGGUCUGUUCAGCCUUGACGAAAGAAAGCUGAGAGGGGAUCUGAUCGAUGUCUAUAAAUAUCUAAAGCAUAGGAGGCAAAGGGAUGAGGCCAUACUCUCUUUGGUGGUGUGUGGCAAUAGGACAAGGGGAAAUGGCCACAAACUGAAGCACAGGAAGUUUCGUACAAAUGUGUGAAGGAACCUCUUCACAGUAAGAGUGACAGAGCGCUGGCACAGGCUGCCCAGAGAGGUUUUGAAGUCUCCUUCUCCGGAGAUAUUCAAGACCUGCCUGGACACCUAUCUGUGCUGCCUGCUGUAGGGGGCCUGCUUUGGCCAGGAGGUUGGACUCAGUGAUCUCUAGAGGUCACUUCCAGCCCGUACAGUUCUGUGAUUCUGUUAACUUAAUUCUGUAUGUCUUUCCCAGCCAUUUGGGGCACUUAGUUAAUAUACAGAUAUAGAGUGUAUCACUGUGAUACCUGUAGUAAUUUUUUUUUUUCUAAGCUGUAAGGUAUAACCUGUAACUAAACUUGAUCUGGAUCUUUUCUGCUUUGUGUAAAGUCAAAGCAUGUUUUGUUGACAAAAUGAAACAGAGAAGUUAUAUUCUUCCAGAGAAGUUCUAUUAUGUGACCAGAAAUUAUAAAAAGGGUUGGGUUCAUGUUUGUUUUUUCUUUUUGGCUAAAUAGGGCUGAGUAGGGACCAGUUCCUCUUCUUCUUUCUUUUCAGAGGAAAGUUCCUCCUGAUGGCUUUCAUUUAUUUCACCACACUCUCUUCACAGAAAAAAAGACAUUUUUUCCUUCAUUCUGGAUGAAACUUGUGCUAAAAGGCUGCAAAAUCUUGUCAGUACUAAGAUUGCAUAGUAACUCUCAAGAGGAAGGAAACUGAAGAAAAACAAAAUCAGCAGUGAGAUUUAGCUGAGGAGCAGUUAAAUGGCGUAAAGUGAGAUAUGAUUCAGUGACCCAGUGACUUUUCUUUAUUUGAUUUCCUAAACACCAAAAAUUCUUCCCUCUCAGAAGAGUGCAUAACUGGCUCUUACUGUAAGAAAUUAUUUAAAUGUGCCGCAUUAUCUUACCCAAAGGGGUUCAUUUCUUUCUGUUUAAUUCACACGAUUCCUUGCAAUGAUGGAGCUAAUUUUUUUUUUUUUUUUUUUUUACUAAAUUAAAUAGCACAAAUCACUGUUUAGCAGUAUGUCUUUGCAUGUAAGCAGUGACUCAGGAAUCGUGGCAGUAAGAAUUAAGCAAGCAGCAUAUUUAUUAAGAGAAGCAACCAGGAAAACUACAAUUUCAUAACCACACAAUUUAAAAUUAUUUUCUGGACCUUAGCAUGAUCUUUCCUCAAGAUAGGCCAAAAACUGCUUGAAUGCCCUCAAACUUUGACUUGUGGGAUGCUGCUUAAAUUAUUUAAACUGACUGAAUAUUGCGAUUUCAAUAGUAACAUUGCACCCGUCUAUUUUUCUUCUAAUUUACACUGAGACCUAUCCUGGCCAAGGGAUAGUGGUUACUAGAAAUUAAAUCUUGGCUUCCCAUUGUUCCCAAGUUUCCAAAAAAAAAAAAAAAAAAAAAAAAAAAAA